AUUUUCGAAACGGAAUUGGAGGAUCGUCCAGUCUUCUUUGCUUGCUUCGACGUUUGUGACUUAACGAUCCUCAGUUCAGAUCCUGUAAAGCAAACUGCGAAAUGAAGUUUGGAACACCCCUUCAGAUCGCUCUUUUCAUUCUCGGGUUAACCUGUACUUUCCAGGCAAAUGCGGUUCAGGUUCACGAGUUUCGCGUCACAGAGAAGAACAACUUGGAACUAGCCCCUGCUAUGUGUAAAGCCCUGAGUGAAAAAAAUGUCUUCGCGACGUAUUUCACGACUAAUGGCAAUCAAGUUUGUAAACCCUCAGCCAUUGGAGCAGGCAGGCAUAAAGAAGUAAUUAAAUAUGUGAUGGAAACAUCGCUGGAAGAAAAUGUCGACGGAAAAUGGCAGAAGCAUUACGCAAUAAGCUGUUGCUACCUAAAAAAUUGAUAAUACUGAAUUAUCAAUCAGAAAAUACUUUUUUGAUAAUACUGAAUAUCCAUUGAUAAUACUGGUAGCUAGCAGUUGAUAAGUUAAUGAUGA